GAUUAGUGGCGGACGGGUGAGUAACAUUUAGGAAUCUACCUAGUAGUGGGGGAUAGCUCGGGGAAACUCGAAUUAAUACCGCAUACGACCUACGGGUGAAGGGGGGCGCAAGCUCUUGCUAUUAGAUGAGCCUAAAUCAGAUUAGCUAGUUGGUGGGGUAAAGGCCUACCAAGGCGACGAUCUGUAACUGGUCUGAGAGGAUGAUCAGUCACACCGGAACUGAGACACGGUCCGGACUCCUACGGAAGGCAGCAG
rnacentral:rRNA from 1 species